rnacentral:lncRNA from 1 species
AUUAUCUGUGGUCACAGUUGCAGGUAAAUUACUUCCUAUUUAAAACAUUGAUUUAAUUUAGACUUUACCAUUGUUAAACAUUUAUAAUAAGACUAAGGAAUGGGUUCAAAUUGCUAACCUUGAACGGAUCAAUGAAAUAUCUAACAAGCAGUAUACAUUCUAUACCGAUUCUUUGUAAUACUUUAGUAAUAUCUUCAGUAAUAUCUAUCUGUCUUUUAUGUACAGUUUUCAACUAACACGGUAAGGCCUUCCUCCAAACAAGAAAUGUGUCUUAUAAUUUAAGUGCAAAAUAUUAACAUUUAAUAAUUUAGGUAAAGUAACUGAUUAUUUUGAUAACACCCUUUCGAUUAUUAUUUAUGAAUUAUUCUUAAAUAACUAAACAUUUUGUAUCUAAGUUUACACAUGGCGUUUCACAAGUUCGUCAUAUUUUCUGUAUGAUUCGUGGGUGGAUGGUUGAUAGAACACCCACAAUUCUUUUUAAGUUUACUAUAUAUAUAUAUGAUAAGAUGACUGCAGAAUCAUAAUCCUCACCGCUGAUUAUUAUCUUAUCAUAUUCCGUAAACAAAUAUCAAAAUUGCAUAUUUAUACCAGGUUAGCGAUUCAGGCUCUUAGUAGCCUCUUGUUUCAUUGAUAAUUUGGGUUGUUCUUUAAUGAAGAAACAUACACAUGUAUUAACCAAUAUAGUGAGUGAAAUGAGAGAGAAAGAGAUGGCGAGAGAAUUGAAUUAAAUUAUUUGCGGGUAGAAUUUCAUUGAAAUAUACAUUUUCAGACAGCGUUGCUAUGAUUCGGACCGGUGUUUGUUUGAUACUAUGCUUACACUGUGAAGGUAAGUCUGUAACUUAUGUAGCCGGUAAGUAGGAUAUAUGUUAUUCGCUACUCAAAACAAAUAUGAUAUAUACUGUACAUGCACAAAUGUAAUUGCCUUCUAUAGACACAGAGGAGCUUUCGCCAAAUCUAUAUGUGGUGUUGCCCCACUAAGGAUUGAUACUGGGAGAUAUGCACAUAUAGUUUUAUAAUACAGAGUGUGUUAUACAUAUGAUGGUUUUAUUAAAGACGAAUUUCAUGUUUUAUUAAAUUUCCUCUUUUUGACGAUUUAGGAAACCAUUCAUGUUACGUUGCUGAAACAUUUAAUAAAAAUUUAGAUACCUGACAACCAAACUUUAUAUUUUUAUUCUCAGAUGUAAAAAUGAUACGUGUGUGUACGAAAACCUGUUAUUCAAUGUUAAGAAGACCUCCACAUUUUAGUACUUUAUUUCAUAUUGUUUAAUGUAACGUAUCUUAUAUUCAUAUCAAUAGUAUCUCAUAACUCUGUUUAGAAGGUUUUCAUUUCAUGUAGUAUUGUUUUACAAUUAGUAAAUACCGAUUGUACUUGUUGAAGGAUGAUACUUUAAUAAUAUAAUAUUAAAUUGAAGUGCACAACCGUCUUGAAAUAACUGAAUAUACUUUGCUCGAAAUCAAAACAAUUUACUUACAUAAGGGUAUGAGUAAAAGAGGGAAAAUAUAUGGAAUAAACGUGAUCCGACAAUGAAAAGUGACGUUUUGGUUGACUAAUCUAAAUUGAUAUCAGAACGGUAAAGCAAUUUUAUCUAUAGUGCUGAAGUUUGACAAUGUGUAAAAUCAAUGUAAAAAAGUAAAAUAACAAAUAUUACCUAUAAUAUCAAUGUAAUAACUUGAAUCCUUUUACAGUUAUUUCUAGUUACAAAAGAGUCUGCUUCUUCACGAACUGGUCACAAUAUCGAACCGGUAUUGGAAAAUAUACGGCGGAUAAAAUUGAUCCAUUUUUAUGUACCCAUGUAAUAUAUGCAUUUGCCAAAGUGUCUGGGAAUACUAUCCAGCCAUAUGAAGAAAAUGACAUCACCAAAUCCAGUAA